rnacentral:rRNA from 1 species
CUCCCUGAUGUUAGCGGCGGACGGGUGCAGUAACACGUGGGUAACCUGCCUGUAAGACUGGGAUAACUCCGGGAAACCGGGGCUAAUACCGGAUGGUUGUUUGAACCGCAUGGUUCAGACAUAAAAGGUGGCUUCGGCUACCACUUACAGAUGGACCCGCGGCGCAUUAGCUAGUUGGUGAGGUAACGGCUCACCAAGGCGACGAUGCGUAGCCGACCUGAGAGGGUGAUCGGCCACACUGGGACUGAGACACGGCCCAGACUCCUACGGGAGGCAGCAGUAGGGAAUCUUCCGCAAUGGACGAAAGUCUGACGGAGCAACGCCGCGUGAGUGAUGAAGGUUUUCGGAUCGUAAAGCUCUGUUGUUAGGGAAGAACAAGUGCCGUUCAAAUAGGGCGGCACCUUGACGGUACCUAACCAGAAAGCCACGGCUAACUACGUGCCAGCAGCCGCGGUAAUACGUAGGUGGCAAGCGUUGUCCGGAAUUAUUGGGCGUAAAGGGCUCGCAGGCGGUUUCUUAAGUCUGAUGUGAAAGCCCCCGGCUCAACCGGGGAGGGUCAUUGGAAACUGGGGAACUUGAGUGCAGAAGAGGAGAGUGGAAUUCCACGUGUAGCGGUGAAAUGCGUAGAGAUGUGGAGGAACACCAGUGGCGAAGGCGACUCUCUGGUCUGUAACUGACGCUGAGGAGCGAAAGCGUGGGGAGCGAACAGGAUUAGAUACCCUGGUAGUCCACGCCGUAAACGAUGAGUGCUAAGUGUUAGGGGGUUUCCGCCCCUUAGUGCUGCAGCUAACGCAUUAAGCACUCCGCCUGGGGAGUACGGUCGCAAGACUGAAACUCAAAGGAAUUGACGGGGGCCCGCACAAGCGGUGGAGCAUGUGGUUUAAUUCGAAGCAACGCGAAGAACCUUACCAGGUCUUGACAUCCUCUGACAAUCCUAGAGAUAGGACGUCCCCUUCGGGGGCAGAGUGACAGGUGGUGCAUGGUUGUCGUCAGCUCGUGUCGUGAGAUGUUGGGUUAAGUCCCGCAACGAGCGCAACCCUUGAUCUUAGUUGCCAGCAUUCAGUUGGGCACUCUAAGGUGACUGCCGGUGAC